GCAUUCCGGAAUGCUCCGCCAUUUGCGAACGAAUCGAGCGUGCGUGCCUGCGUGUGGGUUGCGUCUGUGCGAGAGAGGGAGAGAAAGCAGAGAAACUCUCAAGAAGCACAUUUACUUAUUCUCUAAGUACGAUUGUAAUACGAAUGUAGUUGUAUUUGACGAAAGAAUAUUACAAGUGCAUCUACUAAAUAUCUUUCCUUUCUAUUUUCAUUUUGAAAAAAAAAAAGAAAAAAAAAAAGAAAAUAACGACUGCCAAAAAUUAUUCUCCAUAUGUAAUAUGUACUUUUCCGUUUUCAUUUCUUUUUCUUACCUUGAAGCGAACAUUCCAUCGAGGUCCGUUGCGUUAGGAAGGUAUCAAAAUACGCUUUCCUUUCCGUUCCUUCGAAACACGUUCCUACAUGACACGUUCGGAAUUUUUUCGGAAGGCCAUUAAACACGCUUGUCGUUUCAUAUUUAUUUCUUCCUCUAUCUUUAUUUUUUAAACACAUUCGAACAUUGUAGAUACAUUUUCGUGUUAUUCCAUUGAGAAUUCCCUCGAUAAUUCGAUAUCGAUGAAAUUUUUAUCGAAGAUUCGAGAUGGAAAAAGGAUAUGAAAAUGGUGGACAAUUGAAAACUCAUUCGUUAUCGCUUCGUUAUGACACUUAUGAGCGAGAAAGUCUGAAGGCUGAGCCAAGAAUUCCAGGGGGGAGGGGUGGAGUCUUGGGGCGCAGGUGAGUGAGCUCCGGGAUGAUGAUGUGGCACAUUGGCCUCGUUCGCUCGAAUAACUCCUCUCGUCGCUAUUAGACCGGUUCUCUGUAAGUCGAUUUAAAGAAAUUUUUCCUUACGGAAAUACCGCGUCACAAGUCUGGUACGAGACAACGAACGCAAGAAGUCGAUCGAUCUGGCGAGGAUCUACGCGAAGACAAUCAAUUCUUUCCGAUAAUUUUUCAUUUUCCAUAUAUAUAUAUAUAUAUGUAGUAGGGAUAUCAUUUAUAAGAAAUAUCGAUUGUAUGUGAAGAAGAAAAUGAUGCAAAGUUUACGUGUCAUUAUGAUAAUGCGCAUUUUCAUCGGUUUUUUUCUCUUUCUUUUGCUACUUUGCUAUUUUUCGAAAAUAGCCUAUGUCAAAAAUAGAAAGCUUUUUCAGAAAACUCCGCCAGAAUAACGCAGUAAAUUGAGCUUUACGUUUUAAAAUUUUCCUCCAUUGUUCAUCAAAAUUGGUUAAAAAUUACUUCUGUUAUCAUUGAUGACGUAAAUGCUGUUUUCGACAUUUUUCACGAAGAAAAAGUUACUAGUACUCCUACGCCCCUUGAAAUUUGCGACAAAAGAGAUAAAGCUCGCAGCAGCCCCACUACUGAUUUUCAUAUACGGAAUGGUUUAUCUAGUCGGUGAAGUUGCAAUUGAUAAAGUGUGCGUAAAUAGCUGAUGCUUAGAUUUUUUGAACAUUUCCGAAUGCAAAGAAAUAGGUUGCACGACGCUCGUACAGAGAAGCUACAGAAACUCACUCAAGAUAAGAAAAUACUCAUCCCUAAUCGUUUACGUUAGUUAACAUAUGGAAUCUUAACAUAUAAAAACUGCUGGUGCAUGUCGCGAAAAAAACAAUGUAUAACGUAUUAAAGAACGAAGAAUUUUCUAGAAAUUCGAAGCAGCGAUAAAAGAAGCUUCGUCCUAUCGACGAAGAAUUCUUGGAACUCUAUGCCCUUUACAAACAAGCUACAAUAUAGAGAUUGCAAUAGACAAAAUAGGAAUAUCAGCGAAGCCCAAUGUACAUUCGAUUUGAAAGGAAAGGUAAAAUGGGAAGCUAUGGAGAAGCAA